CACGUAGGGUGCGAGCGUUGUCCGGAAUUAUUGGGCGUAAAGAGCUCGUAGGCGGUGUGUCGCGUCGGCCGUGAAAACCUGCAGCUUAACUGUGGGCUUGCGGUCGAUACGGGCAUCACUGGAGUUCGGCAGGGGAGACUGGAAUUCCUGGUGUAGCGGUGAAAUGCGCAGAUAUCAGGAGGAACACCAGCGGCGAAGGCGGCGCUCUGGGCCGGGAACUGACGCUGAGGAGCGAAAGCGUGGGUAGCAAACAGG
rnacentral:rRNA from 1 species